CGUAAUUCAUUGUGCUCUCUCAUCAACCAGACCUCGAACAAACCCAAAGAACGCAAGACCACAAAGGCUUGUGCCAUUAAGUCUAAUCUUCAGCGAUGAGAGCGUCACGUUCAUGGUUUUAAACAGAUUGGUGCGGUUGUGUUCAUCACAGAUUUGUAGCUAAUAAUCGAGUUCCAGCCGGAUUUAUUGAAUGCGUUCUUUUCAUGUGUUGCUUGUGUGUGAAGAGUGAACGCGCUUUAUUAAAAUGCGCCACAUUUGUUUUGCUACUUAAUGCAAACUCGUAGCAGCAUUUAUCUUUCUGAAGGAGAAAGUGUCGUUCAGUUGUGAAGGAAACAGGAGCUGUUUGUGCUCUGACCACUAAGCAAAGCAUGCAGGGUGACACCAGUAGUCAUUGUAAAAUAACAUUUCUCCUGCUUAGCGUGCAAUAGCCUACUUGAUUCAAGCAAAAAAAAGCUGUAAAAACAAGAAGACAGGAAAAAAUGGAGGAGACACAAUCCAGUGAAUCACGAGAGGAAAGAGGACAGAUGCUUGUCAGAUGCGAGAGUAUGGAGAGACUAAAGCCAACCUUCUCCUGUGAUCCAGACGGGCCUGUAAAGAGUGAUUCAGUCAAAACUGAGGAGAGAUUCUCAUCAAACCCUUCAUCAUCAUCAUCUUCAUCACCAUUGUAACGACUGAGACCAUCAGACACUAAAGCCCACUGUAAAGAGAGCAGAAAAGGCCUCAAUCGUCCGGCGCCCGUCAGAUAAGAUGGUUUUAUUGGAGAAUGUGGUCAUGUGAUCAGACCGAGGCCAUGGGAAAGACAGAAACACAUCUUAAACAGACUUUCCUGCAGUAAUGUAGAAGAACUGAUCUAUAAAUGAACUGAAAGCUUCACUUUCAAACAGAAUUACUGACUAAUUCUACAAUAUGUGUUUAAUACAUGUGGUUAACAAACGAAUAAAAAUGUUUUUAUUUGGUA